GCGCAGGGGCGGGAAGGCGCGAACGCGACGGUGGCGCAGCACCGCCUCCUCCCUCUCUCACCCGCGCGUUCUUCCAGGUGAAGUGCCAUCAGCAGAAGGUCAUAGAGCCCUGGUCACGGUCCUGAGCCAAGGAGUGGCAGAUUCCUGUGUGUCAGAGACCAGUCUUCACUGCAGGAGUACGGAUUACCCUCACCUCAGCUAACCUGUGGCUGGGCAGUCAGAAUAGUCUCCUGGAAAAACAAUAAGUCUGCACAGAAGGAAAACCUUACCCAGGCUCAAAAAGCAAUGCCUUGGGUUAAUCUGGAAAGCACUGCUUGAACCUGCCAUCACUUUGGAAAUGGGCAACAAACUCACUUUCCUCCGGAGAGCUAUAAAACCAAGCAGAAGAGAUCUGCAGAAAGAAAGCCUGUUCGCUUCUCUCGCGUUGCUGUUACGCUCUUGAACUAUCUCAGGUCGAGCAACUCGAAGACGGCAUGUUCUGUAGGCAGAUGGCUCCUGGCAGGCGCUCAGUACAGCUGUGAGUGCGACGCUCCGUGCCAAACAUGAGUCUGUAAUUUCUACUACUCUCCAACUGUCAGCUUUUUGAGGACACCGUUUAAUCAUUUCCCGAGAAGACAAAGGGUGCCCGUCAGACCUAACGAUACUUCACUUGCAUGCACAUCGAUGUGUGGGAGGCUGUUAUAACGCACCCUUGGAAAAAGAGCAUUUCUAAUUCAAAAUGACGGCAGUGAUACUGCUGGAGGAAUGUGCAGUCAGCUCGGAGAGAUCCCACACCCUUUGUCAAACAAGGAGGAGUUUUCUUCUGACUUCAUUUUCUCAGCCCUCUAAGUGGGAGAGUGUUUCUCCCCUCAGGAGAAAUGAGAAGUGCGUUAGUUUUCAUUAACUUUUAAUUUGAAGCCCGCGUAACUGAAUGAAGCCACUGUGGCAAUCUGGAAACGGUAUCUGAAUGCCCUGUUGAAUCAGAGAUAAAUCCUUCUCUCUGAAAAGCACAUAUGAAAAAGGUGCUUUGUGCAGAGAGACAGCGCUGGCAAAGAGCCUUCCCUGACUCGAGCGGCAGCAGCAGCUCUAGGAAGUCAUUUCAGGCUGCUGCACCAUUCCCAGGGCUGUAGGAAAGGUCAGUGCGUUACGUCCUUCAGCCACGCGGGGCUUUGAUUAGCAAAUCCGCGUUGUCGACAACUCUGAACCGUUUCCAGCCUGUGAUAUAUUCGGGCUGCCAUGUGCCCGCAGUGUGGGCUCCCCGUGCCCAGCCUGUGCUUGCAGGCACUGGGUUUGCCGCAAAGCAUUGGGCUGUAUGGCUUACUACAGCAAGGCUCACACCCAAACAUUCCGAUCGUGUCAGGAAAGAAAGGGUUUAAAAUGUUUUGCUUCCUCC
rnacentral:lncRNA from 7 species